rnacentral:siRNA from 1 species
AGGCUAGCGGGUUGGAAAGGCCGU